CCUGCCCCUAGAGGCAUUGCUGCUGUGUCAUGUGUGUGUCAAUAGGUAGCAGAGGAGAGAGGCUAUGAGGAGAGAGGCUAUGUCUCAUUCAUUGUUCUGACCUAUGAACAUCUGAAUGACCAGUAGCCUAACAUU